AUCCAGCUGUCAAGUCCUAAAUAGGACGAAAUGCACAUCCUGGAU
rfam:Schistosoma rodhaini strain Burundi genome assembly, scaffold: SROB_scaffold0010715